rnacentral:rRNA from 1 species
UGGGGAAUUUUGGACAAUGGGGGAAACCCUGAUCCAGCCAUCCCGCGUGUGCGAUGAAGGCCUUCGGGUUGUAAAGCACUUUUGGCAGGAAAGAAACGUCGCGGGUUAAUACCCCGCGGAACUGACGGUACCUGCAGAAUAAGCACCGGCUAACUACGUGCCAGCAGCCGCGGUAAUACGUAGGGUGCAAGCGUUAAUCGGAAUUACUGGGCGUAAAGCGUACGCAGGCGGUUCGGAAAGAAAGAUGUGAAAUCCCAGAGCUUAACUUUGGAACUGCAUUUUUAACUACCGGGCUAGAGUGUGUCAGAGGGAGGUGGAAUUCCGCGUGUAGCAGUGAAAUGCGUAGAUAUGCGGAGGAACACCGAUGGCGAAGGCAGCCUCCUGGGAUAACACUGACGCUCAUGCACGAAAGCGUGGGGAGCAAACAGGAUUAGAUACCCUGGUAGUCCACGCCCUAAACGAUGUCAACUAGCUGUUGGGGUCUUCGGACCUUGGUAGCGCAGCUAACGCGUGAAGUUGACCGCCUGGGGAGUACGGUCGCAAGAUUAAAACUCAAAUGAAUUG